rnacentral:misc_RNA from 1 species
AUCUCUAAACAAAUGGAAGGAAUUUGACUUAUAAAAAAAGUGUUAUUGUUUACUUUAUAGUUUUACUAUUUAAAUCGUACAAUGAGUAAUUGCAAUGUUUGAUAUGUCAAAAGAAUUUAUAACUAUACUCAGUUUUGUUGUUGAGCAUUGUUAAGUCCCACAUUAGCUGCUUAUUUGGAAAAAAUGCUUUUUAUAGUACUUGGUCAAUCCUCCUCCCACAAGGUGUUUUUUUGGAUGCAGUUGAGUUCGGUAUAUUUUAUCAAUAUGGUAUUGGAGUUAACCUAAAUAUCAAUGCUGGGUCACUUUUAGAUGUCUAGUAUUGCAAAAUUCACGCUUCAAAUGUCCAGUCUUGGGCAUGUGAAGGCGUGUUAAAUCCCACAUCAACUAGGUUUUGGGCAAAAUUGCUUCUUUUAUGACUGGGGGCAACCAUCCCCCAACAAAGUGCCUUUUGGGUAGAGUUAGGUUAGGUUCGUUUUAUCAAGAAGCAUUGUUUACUGCUACAUGAAGAAAAUAUUUUGUUGCAAAUUAACAAGAUAUUGAGGAAUUGUCCA